rnacentral:rRNA from 1 species
UACGUAGGGGGCAAGCGUUGUCCGGAAUUAUUGGGCGUAAAGAGCGCGUAGGCGGUCCGAUAAGUCGGCUGUGAAAGUCCAGGGCUCAACCCUCGAAAGCCGGCCGAUACUGUCGGACUAGAGUCCGGAAGAGGCAAGUGGAAUUCCCGGUGUAGCGGUGAAAUGCGCAGAUAUCGGGAGGAACACCAAUUGCGAAGGCAGCUUGCUGGGACGGUACUGACGCUGAGGCGCGAAAGCCAGGGGAGCGAACGGG